GACGAACGCUGGCGGCGUGCUUAACACAUGCAAGUCGAACGAAGUGGCGAACGGGUGAGUAACGCGUAAUCAACCUGCCCUUCAGAGGGGGACAACAGUUGGAAACGACUGCUAAUACCGAAUACUGAAGGAGGGGAUUGCGACUGAUUGGCUAGUUGGAGGGGUAACGGCCCACCAAGGCGAAGAUCAGUAGCCGGUUUGGGAGGUGGGACGGCCACAUUGGGACGUAGACACGGCCCAGACUCCUACGGGGGGCAGCAGGGGGGAAUCUUCCGCAAGGGGCGAAAGUCUGACGGAGCAACGCCGCGUGAGUGAUGACGGCCUUCGGGUUUUAAAGCUCUGUUAAUCGGGACGCGGUACCGGAAUAGAAAGCCACGGCUAACUACGUGCCAGCAGCCGCGGUAAUAC
rnacentral:rRNA from 1 species